UACGUAGGGUGCAAGCGUUGUCCGGAAUUAUUGGGCGUAAAGCGCUCGUAGGCGGUUUGUCGCGUCGAAUGUGAAAACCCGGGGCUCAACCCCGGGCCUGCAUUCGAUACGGGCAGACUAGAGUUCGGUAGGGGAGUCUGGAAUUCCUGGUGUAGCGGUGAAAUGCGUAGAUAUCGGGAGGAACACCAGUGGCGAAGGCGGGUCGCUGGGCCGAUACUGACGCUGAGGAGCGAAAGCGUGGGGAGCGAACAGG
rnacentral:rRNA from 1 species